rnacentral:rRNA from 1 species
UACGUAGGGGUGCAAGCGUUUAAUCGGAAUUACUGGGCGUAAAGCGUGCGCAGGCGGUUUUGUAAGACCGAUGUGAAAUCCCCGGGCUUUAACCUGGGAACUGCAUUGGUGACUGCAAGGCUUGAGUGUGUCAGAGGGAGGUGGAAUUCCGCGUGUAGCAGUGAAAUGCGUAGAUAUGCGGAGGAACACCGAUGGCGAAGGCAGCCUCCUGGGAUAACACUGACGCUCAUGCACGAAAGGCGUGGGGAGCAAACAGG